UUGGACCUACGGGGCGCAGCAGUGAGGAAUAUUGGUCAAUGGGCGAGAGCCUGAACCAGCCAAGUCGCGUGAGGGAAGACGGUCCUAUGGAUUGUAAACCUCUUUUGUCGGGGAGCAAAAAGGCCUCGUGAGGCCACAAGUGAGAGUACCCGAAGAAAAAGCAUCGGCUAACUCCGUGCCAGCAGCCGCGGUAAUACGGAGGAUGCGAGCGUUAUCCGGAUUUAUUGGGGUUAAAGGUGGCGUAGGCGGACUGGAAAGUCAGCGGUAAAAUCGAGAGGCUAAAC
rnacentral:rRNA from 1 species